rnacentral:rRNA from 1 species
GCAGUGGGUACGGGCAGACUAGAGUGCGGUAGGGGAGAUUGGAAUUCCUGGUGUAGCGGUGGAAUGCGCAGAUAUCAGGAGGAACACCGAUGGCGAAGGCAGAUCUCUGGGCCGUAACUGACGCUGAGGAGCGAAAGGGUGGGGAGCAAACAGGCUUAGAUACCCUGGUAGUCCACCCCGUAAACGUUGGGAACUAGUUGUGGGGUCCAUUCCACGGAUUCCGUGACGCAGCUAACGCAUUAAGUUCCCCGCCUGGGGAGUACGGCCGCAAGGCUAAAACUCAAAGGAAUUGACGGGGACCCGCACAAGCGGCGGAGCAUGCGGAUUAAUUCGAUGCAACGCGAAGAACCUUACCAAGGCUUGACAUAUACGAGAACGGGCCAGAAAUGGUCAACUCUUUGGACACUCGUAAACAGGUGGUGCAUGGUUGUCGUCAGCUCGUGUCGUGAGAUGUUGGGUUAAGUCCCGCAACGAGCGCAACCCUCGUUCUAUGUUGCCAGCACGUAAUGGUGGGAACUCAUGGGAUACUGCCGGGGUCAACUCGGAGGAAGGUGGGGAUGACGUCAAAUCAUCAUGCCCCUUAUGUCUUGGGCUUCACGCAUGCUACAAUGGCCGGUACAAAGGGCUGCAAUACCGCGAGGUGGAGCGAAUCCCAAAAAGCCGGUCCCAGUUCGGAUUGAGGUCUGCAACUCGACCUCAUGAAGUCGGAGUCGCUAGUAAUCGCAGAUCAGCAACGCUGCGGUGAAUACGUUCCCGGGUCUUGUACACACCGCCCGUCAAGUCAUGAAAGUCGGUAACACCUGAAGCCGG